GCUCCUUAAUUACAAAAACUCAAUCAAGCGGCGGAGCUCGGAGGGCUCCGGAUCAAAGCGGCGCGGAGGUAACGAGGGCGGAGCGCGGUGCAGCCCCGGUGCCGGGCAGGGGUCACCCAGCGCCCGCCCCGCCGAACGGGCUGGAAAUGUGUUUAUACGUUGGUCAAAUUCCGGAUAAACUUCAGCGGCGUUCGUGGCCGCGUCUGCCCGCGUGUGGUUAUUUUCCAGAAAUCUGGAUUACGGGAAACAUUCGGAGAGAAAUCUAAACAGGCUGAGGGUGGGGGGGCUCAGGGGGUGCCGGGGUUCCCUCCGCACGGACGGGGCGCACAGCGGGAAGAGGUGGUGUGGCCGGGGCCGGGCAUCGCUGUCCAUAAAGGCGCAUCCCACGGGGGCCGGGACGGGGCGAUCAUCGGGUCUCUCCCCGCCCCACCUGUGGGGCAGCCGCCGCCCCUCGACGGGCACCUCAGCGCGGGGCGGGGACGUUCCCCCGUGUCUCUUCUCCAGGUGGAGAGGGAGAAAAGUGGCAGAGAGCUUCGGGGCCGCUCCUCCGAGGGCGAAGGGUUAUUUCCACGAGCUCCCAGCCCACACCUGCGGGAUUGCUGUGCACUGCACGUGCAGAGGACUCUGGUGCCCCACGUCCGGUGAUGGACAGCCGCUCAGCCCGGCCCUCGGCGGCCCCACCGGGCUGAGGAACCCCCCGCAGCGGACCCGGCUCUUUCGCGGCCCGGCCUUUUCCCACCUCUGGAAGGUGCACAACGGCCGCUGCUGCCCGGCUCCGUCGGGGCCCAGGCGUACAACGCCCUUCAUCUCUGCCGAGAAGCGGGCCCCGACGGCUCGCUUCCAGCACGAGAAGAAAACCCCUUUUUGGCUCAAUCCGAGAGUCACUCCAGAGGCGGCCGGCGGCGGUUCCCGCCUCAGCCCGGAGGAGCCGGGAGGAGGGGAAGACGGAGGCCCGACUGCUCGGAGAAUUGUUAUUUUUCAUCAAUCAGCCGCAAUUUGUGUAAGUGCCCCGGACAGGACACCAGCCGUCCUGCUGGCUGGGGUCACGGAGACAACGCAGCGAUGGAGAAGAGCAAAUUGCAUUUGCUCACCAGCUCACAGAUCCAAAUUACGGCCCUCGCAUGGCGCGGGGAAGGGAGCGAAAGGUCCAUGUGACAUGAGGGAAAUAUGAAGGACUUUGACAGGUCUUAAACGGCCUGGCGCCAAGGCCUAAGUCUACCGGCUAAAAAUAGAAAAGAGAUGAUGAGUGGAGAUGGGCAGAGAUGAAAGGGAAGAGGGAGCGGGGCCGCGGCGCGGGGGCGGCUGGGCCGGGCCCCUUCCUCGGAG
rnacentral:lncRNA from 1 species